CGGAGUGAGCUCCAGUCGCUGACAAUUGAUCCUGGGGGCACAUACAUGUACAUGUACGCCGGGAGCAGGGAGUGGUGCAACUGAUUUCUACGUGUAUGAUGGCUUUUCUUACAAAGAAUCAGUCAUCAUCUUUUCACUCGUCGGACAUCUUUGUGCUAGGUAUUCCAUCCCUGCAGAUAAACUCUGGUGCCCAGUACAAGCUCUUAAGCGGGGAGAAUAAGCAAGCAGCUUUUUAUUACAUCCACAUCCAGCGGCCUCGAAAGACACCAUCACUUGCUGGAUAGUGCAGGCAAUCAAGGCAGCCUCAACAGAUGCUUGGCAAACCCCUCUCGAAACCCCUGUGCAUGAGAGCGCUGUUGCGUAUACUGGAUACGUGGUGUUGAUAUAAAGAGGCAACUUCAAGAUGAAUUGGCAGAUGUGUCCCACCAAAUCCAGAAAAAGGUUUUGAAUAAAGAUGCCCAUGAUAUUGUGCUGCUAGAACAAGCAACUCAUGCUUUGGAUCCUAUGGCAUCAGGAGCAACAUAUAAUUCUCUUUGAUUGUUAAGUAUAACCUUUCAUUAAUGUUGCAAUUAGUUUAGGCAAAUUUCAAAGAGAUUUUAGAUGUACACGCUCAGAAUUUAUAAGAUACAUACAGUUAACUUGUCCAUUCCUCAAAUUAUGUUGUGAAUGUUUUUUUGUCGAGCAUGAUGGUACUGUGCAGACUAUAUGGAACUUUCUUCACAAAGCAAAUUCAAACAGUAAAUUAAGUUUAAAUCUGAUUGUUACAAUAAGAUUUUUAUUUCUUCACAAAGUGAUAGGUGUUAAUUUGUCACAAGAUAAAUUUGAAUAAUGAUGCAGCCAUCUUGUGGGCCAGGGAAACUUCCUUGGCAUCCAACGUCCAAAAAACUUGCUAUGCCGACCAAUUUCAGUGAAUGUGGAAUCAUGUUUGAGUGAAAAGGAGAUCAAACAAUUAGAAGGGUGUUAAACUCAGUUGUUUGGGGACUAUAAAAAGGAACCCACUGAGUAAAAAGAAUUUGGCAAACCUUUCUUUGUAGAAAAAUUUAGACAUGUAAUGUUAAUGGAAAGAUUUGCAUUUUUUUUAACUUUGAUCAAACCUAAUUUGAAAACCGAUGACUUCAUUCCGUGUGCUUUUUUAGGACUGGCACUUGUAUUUGUAAAAUGCUCGACCAGAAGUAUGUCACCCGCAGAUGUUUUCUUUUUAUUUAUUAUCCAAUGUGAUAAAAGGCCUCAUGUGUCAUGGUUUGUAAACAAUGUUUUAAUUAAACAAACAAAUAUUAAGAAAAUUCAUUAAUUUUGUUUAUACAAACCAUUAUUUUGCUGCUCCAAUUUUCAUGGUUUGUCAUGGUUCGAUUUUAUAUAUUAUGAACCAUGAUUUUGUUUUUCGUGUUUUUAAAUCAACUUUCAUGGUUCAAUUUUCACGGUUUGUAAAUCAUGUUUUUCAUGCAUCGACUUUCAUGGUUUGUCAAAGCAUGUCUUGAAUAUGCUUCAAUUAUCAAACAGGAUAUCAUGCAUCAAUUUUGAUUUAUAUGGUUUAUAAAACAUGGUUUUCAUGCAUCAAUUUUUUGAUGGUUUGUACCAUGGUUUUUAUGGUUUAUAUGGUUUAUAAUGAUUUUCAUUCAUCAUGGUUUUAUAAACCCUGAUCUUCAUGCUUCAAUUUUCAUGUUUUAAAGUGUCUAUGUACUUUUUUCUAACACAAUGUUCACAGAUUUGCAUUAAACUUACACAGUUUGAAGAUAAU